UACAGAGGGUGCGAGCGUUAAUCGGAAUUACUGGGCGUAAAGCGCACGUAGGCGGCUUGUUGCGUCGACUGUGAAAACCCGCGGCUUAACCGCGGGCUUGCAGUUGAUACGGGCAGGCUAGAGUUCGGUAGGGGAGACUGGAAUUCCUGGUGUAGCGGUGAAAUGCGCAGAUAUCAGGAGGAACACCGGUGGCGAAGGCGGGUCUCUGGGCCGAUACUGACGCUGAGGAGCGAAAGCGUGGGGAGCGAACAGG
rnacentral:rRNA from 1 species